UUUUUUUUUUUUUUUUCUUGUUUUAAUAUUUAAAUCUACUUAGAUGAUAUACAGAAGCUAUGGAAGAGUUAUUCCCCAAAAUUAUUUGGUUACCCAAAUCAAAUUUAGAACAAAGAACCACAAUACAGUGAUAGGCCAAGGUUCAAGUCUAAAGGACUCCUAUCAGAAGAAAGAAGAAAACAAUUGAGAAAGAGACAUUUGGAAUCAUUGCAAAAGAUAACCAAGUGGGAUUUUCAUGCUAUUUCAACUGAGUUUUAUAGCCAAGUGGUUGAAAUCCCCUGAAGAAAUGUCAAAAUGGCAAGCGUGCAAGGCCAUUCAGCUGUGAAUUUUCUUUUUCCAAAAAAGGCAACUGCAUGCAAAAACUGAAAACAGCUAUGCUGGAAGAAUAAUUGUUUAUACAGAGAACGAAACUAAAUUCUAAUCAAGGAAAAUUCUUAUUCAAUAAGCAAAGCAACUCUCAUUUCAACAGGAAAGCAUUUUAAAUAAAACCAAAUAACAUUUGUUUGUAUAUUAGAAAAAAGAACUGAAUCGAUUUAUAACCAAACACUCCAAAAUGAUUUUAGAUUUCCAAUUUCACGCCAGAGCCCAAAAAUAUAAUAUCAUUCUAUAAGAAUUACUAUUUUGACAUUAACAUAAUGCAAGGAUUACCCGUGAAAGUCAUUUCUGCAUUGUUAAUAUUAAGUGCUGUCUAUUUAUCAUGCAUGUAUGGACAUAAAUAUAAUACUAUAACUGAACGUUAUUAAAGAAAUAACAGAGAUGCAAUACAAAAAUAAUCCCCUCAUAUAUGUUUUAAUUAAAAUUCCACAAAGUAAAUAGAAAGUAUAAAUUAUCUGACUAUGACUGAGUUUCAGCAUUAACUGCAACGUAUAGACAAAAUUCUGCAGCCAGUGUAUAGAGUUUGGGCAAAUGCAAGUGUAGCCCCAACAACCCUUUCCAAAUCUAACUACGCUAUUACAUGCCAA
rnacentral:misc_RNA from 1 species